GCUGGCGUAGCUCAAUUGGCAGAGCGGCUGAUUUGUAAUCAGCAGGGUGCGGGUUCGAGUCCCAUCGCCAGCUCCA
rnacentral:tRNA from 1 species